rnacentral:sRNA from 1 species
AAGGGGAGGGAUUCUUCUGCAACCAAGAGGCAAGAGGCGAGAGAAGGAAAAAAAAAAAAGCGAUGAGUUCGCCAAAUAUAUGGAGCACAGGAAGCUCAGUCUACUCGACUCCUGUAUUUUCACAGAAAAUGACGGUGUGGAUUCUGCUCCUGCUGUCGCUCUACCCUGGCUUCACUAGCCAGAAAUCUGAUGAUGACUAUGAAGAUUAUGCUUCUAACAAAACAUGGGUCUUGACUCCAAAAGUUCCUGAGGGUGAUGUCACUGUCAUCUUAAACAACCUCCUGGAAGGAUAUGACAAUAAACUUCGGCCUGAUAUAGGAGUGAAGCCAACAUUAAUUCACACAGACAUGUAUGUGAAUAGCAUUGGUCCAGUGAACGCUAUCAAUAUGGAAUACACUAUUGAUAUAUUUUUUGCGCAAACAUGGUAUGACAGACGUUUGAAAUUUAACAGCACCAUUAAAGUCCUCCGAUUGAAUAGCAACAUGGUGGGGAAAAUCUGGAUUCCAGACACUUUCUUCAGAAAUUCCAAAAAAGCUGAUGCACACUGGAUCACCACCCCCAACAGGAUGCUGAGAAUUUGGAAUGAUGGUCGAGUGCUCUACACCCUAAGGUUGACAAUUGAUGCUGAGUGCCAAUUACAAUUGCACAACUUUCCAAUGGAUGAACACUCCUGCCCCUUGGAGUUCUCCAGUUAUGGCUAUCCACGUGAAGAAAUUGUUUAUCAAUGGAAGCGAAGUUCUGUUGAAGUGGGCGACACAAGAUCCUGGAGGCUUUAUCAAUUCUCAUUUGUUGGUCUAAGAAAUACCACCGAAGUAGUGAAGACAACUUCCGGAGAUUAUGUGGUCAUGUCUGUCUACUUUGAUCUGAGCAGAAGAAUGGGAUACUUUACCAUCCAGACCUAUAUCCCCUGCACACUCAUUGUCGUCCUAUCCUGGGUGUCUUUCUGGAUCAAUAAGGAUGCUGUUCCAGCCAGAACAUCUUUAGGUGAGACACCUUUGUUUAUGUUGCAGUUUCUCAAGAUAAGUACCAAAUACAAGUAAUUUUUAUGUCCAUUUCUAUGUUGAUCUGCUUGAAAUUUAGCCUGCAAUUGCAUAGAAAUACCAUUUGUUUCAUAUUCAAGAGAACUGGCAUUUUUAAUUCACAAUAGCAAAGACUUGGAACCAACCCAAAUGUCCAUCAAUGAUAGACUGGAUUAAGAAAAUGUGGCACAUAUACACCGUGGAAUACUAUGCAGCCAUAAAAAAUGAUGAGUUCAUGUCCUUUGUAGGGACAUGGAUGAAGCUGGAAACCAUCAUUCUCAGCAAACUAUCGCAAGGACAAAAAACCAAACACUGCAUGUUCUCACUCAUAGGUGGGAAUUGAACAAUGAGAACACAUGCACAUAGGAAGGGGAACAUCACACACCGGGGCUUGUUGUAGGGUGGAGGGAGUGGGGAGGAAAAGCAUUAGGAGAUAUACCUAAUGUUAAAUGACGAGUUAAUGGGUGCAGCACACCAGCAUGGCACAUGUAUACAUAUGUAACAAACCUGCACGUUGUGCACAUGUACCCUAAAACUUAAAGCAUAAUACAAAAAAAAAA